CUGGUGGGGAACUGGGAGGCCUCUCUGGCCCUGGUCACCUGGGUUAACCGCCUGACCCUGCCUGGGGGCCCCCAGCCCCUGCCUGACCACCAUAGUCUUGUUUGUCUCGUAGAUGGACCUUGGUCUUAUGCUGUAGGUAGCUCAUCUCCUGGACGAGCCUGUUUUUCUGAGCUGCUAAGUAUGCCCUACUCCAGGCGCAAGUUGCUCCUGUGAAGCUAGACCCUGUGUCUACUGAGUGCAGUGGCAAAGGUCUCAUGUGCUGCUGAGGCAAACCCUGAGCAGACAGGUCUAGUGGUUUCCAAUAUUUUAUUCUGAUUCAUUAACUUUUCUUUGAGAGGGAACGAGUAAUUUGAAAGAGGAAUGGUUUUUGCCUUGCGUGCUGGGACACCAGUUUCUCAUGGUAAAAGGUAUUAUUGUUUGCAAAGCAUGCAUGUCAUUCACGCUGGCCUUCAGACACAGAAAGGCUGGUACAGUGGCACUUUCCUCCCAGCUAGGCCAGAGGGUAGCCUUUUCCUGGAUGUGAUGCAGAAAAGAAAAUAAUUAUAGAAUUGGAGAAUGGCGCUGAGCAGCUCCAUGGUUCCUCCCCGUGCCCCAUCAGAGCCCCAAUGGAUGUUCACGCAUGGGGACAGCUGCUGGGGGUCCUGCAGCAUCAUGAAGCCCCAGGUUCCUUGGGAGUCUGCGCUGUGGAGCUCUUGCAGGCCGAAUGGACGCUGGAAUGCUCCUGAGCCUGAGGUGGUGAGUGAAAGGUCUUGGUGGUUGCGAAGGCGAUCAGAGAUGAUACCUAGAUGAUCCUAGCAAGCAUGGAUUUUGAGUCUCAGCUGUGUUUCACCGUACCUUCAGCACUGUAUGGCUUCUAACGAGGGCUUUCUCCCCCCCUUUCUUUUGUUCUGUAGUUGCCCAGAGCAAGGGACAUCUUUACCCUUCCUUCUUUUACAACAAUGGUGAAAACUGCACAUAGGACGCUCCAGACCUCUUCUUCAGCACUUGUGCCAGCCCAGGCCUGUCCCUUUCUUGUGGCUGGAGACAUCCAGCCCUGGAGACACUCUGAUCUCUUCUCCUUGGGCUGGUGAAAGUCAGUCCAGGCAGUUUUGUUAAGGCUUUAUUUCAGCUUUUUCUUUCCUCAAAGUGCUUUAGAGACACUGGGCAAUGCAUCUUCCCUGAAUUUGCUUUAGUACUGACAAGUUAAAAUUUCCUGCAGGAGGAAACUCAGGCAAGAUGUUCCCAAUUUCAUCCCUGGUAUUUCCAUGAUACAUCUACUAAGGUCCUGGCAUGUCAUGCUAUACUGUAUUUCAGCUUGAACAUGGGUAAAACAUUCUUCUUUACAGGGAAAGUCCAAGUCUCUGUUGUUGAGGGAAGAUAGCAACUUGAUGGAUCAUACUAUGUGGGCACAGGUCAUCUAUAAGUCUUUAUAUUGAGUCUGCGUAUGGCAGUUUUCCAUUAACUCUCUUAUUUCCCAGAAAGUUCACAGAGGACGGCUCAAACCUAUUUUUCUUCUGUCCCAAAGGCUCCUGAUAGCUUAUGGUUCUGGCCUUCAUCUUGUAUUUUUCUCCUGUCGACCCUUCUGCCCCUCCCCAGUUUGGACAGUAGGAGGAAGUUUACUGUGCCUUUAUAGCCCAGUUCUCUUUUGUGAUUCUAUAACAACUGCAAUCCUUGUAGAAGAUGUGGGAAUUUUCUGUCCAAUCUUUUCGACAAAUACAUGUCCCGUAGUUUGCCUACUCAUUCCCUUGUUGCUACCUACUUAGUCAUCAGUUCUGCCCUGGGAAGAAAUGGAAAACUCACAGAGAGAGAAGAAAGAGCCCACUCAUUAGCGCUGACAUUUAGAAACUGGAGGUGGAUAACACAGGUCGUCUCAGCUUUGAGGGGUGCAGCUUAUGAUGUCCCUGCUCCUCACUGCCCCCAGCUUCUUGCUCCUGUUCCUGCCCUGUGCACCAUCACCCCUCCUCAGUUUUACCAUUGUAGGUUUAAAAAAAAACUUUUUCUUGAUGCUUUACUUCUGAAAGAGAUAGUAGAUGAAGAGGUCAUAUCCAUGCUCGGAGGCCAAAUAAAAAGAGUGCCAGGCCAAACAAGCUCAAGUAUACAGAGCCUGUGGUGCACUACAAGAAAGCCAACUGCUUCCUCUGCUCAGCACUCAGUGAGCUCCCUUGAGCUAAUGAGGAUGCCUUGUGCUAAGCCCUGUCCGUGCAUGCGUAUCCCUGAUGAUCCCUGGUUAAACAGCACACAGUAACUACAUAUAACCAGAGACAACCUGUUAUAAAAUGAAAAUGAGAAGUGACUGGAGUCAGCCAGAGCCAUCAGUGAUCUUGGUAGGACGUAUGGUGAGGAUGGUAUCUGUCACUUCAGAUGCAGGUAUGUGGGUGUUAUUCUGUACCCACAUUCACAGGCUGAGGUUAUUAUCGGUAAUCGUAUGGCACCAGUGACUAGGAUGGUUUUUUCUGCCUACGUCUUCUGACUAUUCCUUUCUAAUGAAGACCUGUCUGCGGUGACAUAUGCUGUUAUUACUUGGCAGAUUGCAGAGCUCACCGCUUGGAGGCAAAGAAGUCUAAAAUCUGCUUGCAACUGAAGCUAGUGCCAACUGUGUUGGAUCGCUCAGAUAUAGACACGGUCCCACUCUAACCACAGCUGCGCAAGCAGGGGCAGGUACCACCUCCACAGGUGACACACACCAGUCUGACUUUGCCAUCGGUUCUUGGCUGAAAUUUUCAUCAGGGAGCGUCAUAUAAACAGUAAGACAGUGCAGAGGUAGCUCAGCCUGACUGUUCCUGUAUGUACUUAGCCUGGUACUUGCUGUUUCCAUUUCAGACCUGGAGAGGGGCAUGCAUACCCAGAAAGCUCACCCACUGCAUCAGACUGGCCUAGUAAAAGCUAUUACAGAUUUUGCCUCUUCUUAUAGUAUCUUGCCUGUUUGAGAUGGGCUACCUCUUGUCAGCCAGCCAACCAUCUGGUGCAGUGUGAUAGAUCCUCUAGCAGAAGGUAGGAUGGUUUUGUUUUAUUUGUGUGUAUAUUGCUAGCUGUUAUCCUUAUGUUGAGUGCUUUAGUAUCAUAGUGGCAACACAUUAUCCCAGCUAGGGGAUAAGUAUCAGUGGUCACUCACAGAACUGUUCCUGUGCUUGUAUGGUCCUAUAAGCUGUUUUUAGUGAGUCAUUCCCUGCGAAAAAGGCUGUGAUGUUUACUGAUAUUUAGCUUGUCUUUCAUUGUAGAACUGUUGUUUGCUGUGUGCGUAUCUGGUACCUAUGUCUUGGCAUCCCUUCACUAACUAGAUGAGAACUGUGUUUUCUCCUGUUUGGCAACAGAGAGAGACCCUUAGGGAAGAUCAGAGAACAGUCUUCCCUACAGCUCUAACACUACAAAGAGAAGAGACAACCUGGUAUCACUAACAGCAUCAAACUUCUGGCACUGAUUAUGGUCCUAAGUCAGGAACUAGACUCCUUAGCAUUAUUAGUGGAGAGAGACAGAGACGGUUUCUCAAUUAUUGAGAAGGUGAUUUAUAGGAGGAGCUUUAUUUAGGUAUACUGACACCCUAUGGAGGUUCCUCUGUCUCUCCCUCUCAUACAUAUGCAGAGAACCUUGAAGAGUUAUGGUAGGUCUCAGAAGUUAGGUCAUAUGAAUAUCUACCUCUGUCUCAACUUCCCAUCCAAUUCAGGUCACAAAAGAAUUUUAUUCAGGCUACAUUUGGUUAAAAUGAAGGAGAUAGUGGAGAGGAGAAAGGCUUUGUAGAAGAGAAGGAAAUCCUGUUUCAUGCUCAUCUGUGGAGUUUUAUUACUGCUCUUCUUGAGAAUCAAACUGGACACCUUUGUGGCUUGUGCCUGCUCAGUAUCUCCCAAAAAGAAAUAAGUCCAAAAACCUUCUCCCCUUUCCUUCCAUCUGUGGCUGGUCAGUUUGCCCCUUUCUGUUUUCUAACCCCAGUAAUCAACUCUUGUGUUGGCUCAGCCAGACCAUUGCAUGCUGUGCACUUGUCAGAGUGCCUCCAGGCUGGAAGCUUUUGUGCCUACUUUAUAUUGAAAUUAAAGUAAAAGACUGAGCCUAAUGAUCCUGUAAAUUCAGCUGAUUUGAAACUUGAGAUACCGAAAUUCUGUUUGUAGGCCAGUCCUAUGGAGAUGGUCAGCCGUAUUACUGCUCUGCACUCGUUUCUGUUGUGGCAGGAAAUCUGAGAUCAGACACAGUCUCCUGGUUCGUAAGGAUGCAAAUAUCUUGUGUUUGACGACUUCUGAUGACAUCUUUCCCAUGCAUGCAGUCAUCACAACCAAACCUCCUGCCAGGAAGAAUAAUUGUCAGUUCUUGGUUUCAAAGAACUGGCUAAGGACCAUGCAGAGGACAGUACGACAGUCUCAGUGGCAGACUGUGAAAUUCACCCUACCAAGGAGUUAACUAAGCCCAGGCAUUCCCGCUCUGCCCAUUUUGAUUAUUGUACAACUCUUCUUUUAGCGGCCUUUUUCCUAACAGAAUUAGGAUUCUGUUGCCGUGUUGCUUGGGUGGCUAGCCAGCGUGUGCUAAGGACAUGGAAACUGUGACUCACUGUGGUGUCAGCUCUUUCUCGGCUGCAGCUGUAAGGAUCUUGGUUUUAACCUCAGUAGAGAACUUCUCUGAGCAGUGGGAAUUCAGCUUUUUACUGGUGUAGCUGGUUUACAGUUAUUGUGUUCUGUGCCUUCUAUGACUUCUUUUCAUUAUUCCUUAAAAUUUGUUCUGUUUCUGCUUUUAAAUGCCAUACUGCUAGUAUUCAGUAUGUGAAUACUGAAUCCUGCCUAGCAGGAUAAGAGGUGCAUUUUUCCUGAAAUGACGUAAACUGAGGUGUCCAGCUGCUCUAGAAAAUAGCUUCCCAGCUAUGUGGUGGUAUCAUCCGACCACUUCGUCCAGGCAGGGAGAGGUGAAAUGCCCUUAUUAGAGCUCACUGAGAACUGGACUGUCUGUCCAUUGGAGAAUCUAGAUGAUUUCAAAAGAAAAAAUGUCCUCAUUUACAGCGAAAUGCCUGAAAUUCUAUUUCAUAGACUAGAAAGGAAAGUGUUAAUUUACAUGAUUUUUUUUGUUGUUGCCAAUCAGAAUAUUUUAAAAUAGGAUCUUUCAGAGAGUUGAAAUAUUUUGUUCUAGUUCAGGUUAAAAUCGGCACAUGUCCCUGCUGCUGUUGUGGCGCCUUCUGGGAUUUGUAGUUUAACAAUCUCAUGCUUCAGUUCUCUCUGAGUAUUGCUCCUUGGCUGAACUGCAUUUCUUAUGCUAACCUAUGAUCAAAAUCCCCAUGAUACACAGUCUUGAUCUGACCACAGAAGAAAUCCCACUGUUUUUUUUGGGAAAUAUAUACCAGCAAUUCAGUAAAAUGCAUUGGAGUAAAAGGGGAACUACUGCCUGAAACUGCAGCUCCCCCAGCUUCAAAAUAGAAAAAACAGUUUGAUUCAACAGUUCAGAGACGUAGGAUUUAAGUUGGCCUACCUGUAAGCUUUUUCUUUUCUGUUUUCCCACGGAUAAAAGAAAAAAAGGAGGGAGGUUUCAUAUAGUGGGAAUUAUUUUAGCUGAAAAAUCCUUGACAAAAUCAUCUUUUUGGAUAUACAACCACUCAUCAACUGUAUUGUAUCUAAAAUACCUUCAGUUUAUAAUUCAGACUGGCUAACAGGUACUUUUUUUUCAGAUAGUCUAGAGCCACGCUAACCUCUUCCGUAUUAUGGAGGAUCUGAAAAUAGCUGGAGGAGGAGGUUACUGUAGCUGAUUUAUUCCUUCCUUCCUUCCUUCUUUCCUUCCUUCCUUCUUUCCUUCCUUCCUUCUUUCCUUCCUUCCUUCUUUCCUUCCUUCCUUCUUUCCUUCCUUCCUUCUUUCCUUCCUUUUUUCCUGCUUCAUUUUCAUGAGCUAGGAAAGAACUUCAAAAAGCAAUAGCUUCUCGAAAUUUCUCCCAUAUACCUUAAAAAAAAAUAGCAAAACAACUCUUUAUAGUCGAGAAAUCCUAUGAUCAUGCAUGAGCAUGUAUAAUAUACAUGCAUGCUAUACAUGCACGAUCAUGUAUAAUAUAGAAAAGAACAAGAAAGCAAUCCAAGGUUGUGCUGAAAAUGGAGGUGAUGAACUGGUUAAUAUAUUGGUUCACCUUCGUGAAUCCCACCCCUGGUAGCACAUACAGCUCGCGCCAUAGAAAUUGCAUGUGCAGGGUGUUCGAGCAUAACGUCUACAUGGCCAAAGGAUCUUGGCAAACCACAUUUUUCAUCAAGCAAGUUAAGAGUCUGUCCUGUGGGAAGGAGGAAUCAGAACUCCCCAUUCAGGUUGGUGUAAAUCUCUUCCUUCUUUUAAGGUAUUAGCUUUGCUGGUGGUUUUAUUCUGUUUUCAGCAGGGCUGCUCUUUAGAUCCAAACACUGGAGUGAAAUGAGAGUCUCAAGGUACCACCGCAUGGUCCGUUGACUGGAGGAGUUUUCAUGGGCUUUUUUCCUGCUGUGGUUUCUCUGCUUGGCCCCGCUCACUGAGCCAACUUUCUGCUACAGAAUCAAGCUGCCUAAGCCAUCCUUUCCGACUGUAAGCUGUGCCCAUCCAGCCAGGAAACAGGCUACAUAGUUGCUGGCAUGUCUCAAACUGAUAUAUCAGGCAUUUCCAAGUUUCCUGUGAAAAGAACUAGGUAGCGGUUCAACUGGGGCUAAAAGAACAGCUUCAAGCACUUCAACUGGACUGCCAAAGACAGCAAAAAGAGGAGGAGGAUGUGCCACACGAACAAAGCAUAUAACGAUUCAAAUUACGGCCCAGCUGCUACAGAGAAUUUUUGCCCCUACCAAGUCCCCUUAUAGCAGCUGAAACCUUUGAAUUUGACCUGGUCAACACAAGGACGAUCUCUAAGGCAUUGGCGGAGCUACGAGGCACAAGCGUAUUCUUAGCUACUUCAUAACAUAGCUCAGUUUAACCAACAGUUCCUAAAGGUUUUACUGAUUCAGCUGAGGCAAAAUCAGCAUGUAGAACAAUGUCAGCGUCAUUUAGAAAGUAAAGUUCAAGGUUAGGUUUCCAAAAGUGGUGGGGAAGUGGGGUCAGGGUGUGUCUCUGUUAAAGCAUUACUGCUCUCAUUGGAGUCACUGGAAGAAAUAGAGAUGGAUUUGAGGAAUCUCUGUUUUCUAAUUGAAGAUCCAUUUGUAUUUUGCUGCAGCUUAAACAAUAAUAAAAUACUUUGGCCUCUGA